rnacentral:rRNA from 1 species
GCAUCACUGGUGUUCGGGUUGUCAUGCCAAUGGCACUGCCCGGUAGCUAAAUGCGGAAGAGAUAAGUGCUGAAAGCAUCUAAGCACGAAACUUGCCCCGAGAUGAGUUCUCCCUGACUCCUUGAGAGUCCUGAAGGAACGUUGAAGACGACGACGUUGAUAGGCCGGGUGUGUAAGCGCAGCGAUGCGUUGAGCUAACCGGUACUAAUGAACCGUGAGGCUUAACCUUACAACGCCGAAGGUGUUU